CUGGACCAUCUGGAGGAUAGGUCUGCAAGCCUGGGAAAGGGGUCUGGACCGACACUAGCGCUAUUUAUCAUGGUAUUAUGUUUGAGACUGAAUCUGACUAUGUACCUAACCGGUCUUGAACUUUGUGUGUUGUCCUGCUUUGCUUCAAAGUCAUGAUUGGCCUUCCCAAGCUUCCUGAAUGCUAUGAUUACAGCUAUGUCCGUGAAAGCAGCAUACACCCGGUCUUAAACACCUGCCUCCUCAUCUUCGGAACACCGUUCUUCAUCGUUCCUUCCUGCCCUUAACUCCACCCCGUCCUUGGGCCCUUACGUCAAUCUGGCAUAAAUCCAGGUAUUUACA